rnacentral:rRNA from 1 species
GCACCACAAGAACGCGUGGAGCAUGUGGCUUAAUUUGACUCAACGCGGGAAAUCUUACCGGGUCCGGACACACUGAGGAUUGACAGGCAAUAUCUCAUGGUUAUUAACCCGGUUAUUACAUUUUGUUUAAUCGGUUAUUAAGCAUCGAGUGUUAAAUAUGCUAUCCUUUCAUGAUUAUGUGAUAGGUGGUGCAUGGCCGUUCUUAGUUCGUGGAGUGAUCUGUC